AGCGAACGCUGGCGGCAGGCCUAACACAUGCAAGUCGAACGAACUCUUCGGAGUUAGUGGCGGACGGGUGAGUAACACGUGGGAACGUGCCUUUAGGUUCGGAAUAACUCAGGGAAACUUGUGCUAAUACCGAAUGUGCCCUUCGGGGGAAAGAUUUAUCGCCUUUAGAGCGGCCCGCGUCUGAUUAGCUUGUUGGUGGGGUAAUGGCCCACCAAGGCAACGAUCAGUAGCUGGUCUGAGAGGAUGACCAGCCACAUUGGGGCUGAGACACGGCCCAAACUCCUACGGGAGGCAGCAGUGGGGAAUCUUGCGCAAUGGGCGAAAGCCUGACGCAGCCAUGCCGCGUGGAUGAUGAAGGUCUUAGGAUUGUAAAAUCCUUUCACCGGUGAAGAUAAUGACUGUAGCCGGAGAAGAAGCCCCGGCUAACUUCGUGCCAGCCGCCGCCGUAAGAC
rnacentral:rRNA from 1 species